rnacentral:rRNA from 1 species
GAUGAACGCUAGCUACAGGCUUAACACAUGCAAGUCGCGUGGCAGCAUGGGGGUUGCUUGCAAUCCCCGAUGGCGACCGGCGCACGGGUGAGUAACGCGUAUCCAACCUGUCCUUCACCACGGGAUAACCCGGCGAAAGUCGGACUAAUACCGUAUGUUGUCCAUUGACGGCAUCCGAUUUGGACGAAAGGUUUGGCGGUGAAGGAUGGGGAUGCGUCCGAUUAGCUGGACGGCGGGGUGACGGCCCACCGUGGCGACGAUCGGUAGGGGUUCUGAGAGGAAGGUCCCACACACUGGAACUGAGACACGGUCCAGACUCCUACGGGAGGCAGCAGUGAGGAAUAUUGGUCAAUGGGCGUAAGCCUGAACCAGCCAAGUAGCGUGCAGGAUGACGGCCCUAUGGGUUGUAAACUGCUUUUAUGCGGGGAUAAAGUGGCCCACGUGUGGGUUUUUGCAGGUACCGCAUGAAUAAGGACCGGCUAAUUCCGUG